rnacentral:lncRNA from 1 species
UCCCGCAUACAUCCCGUCACAUCAUCUUCUUCAACCUCAAAAGCCAUCACCAAUCAGCCAUAAACAGAACCACCACGAAACCAUCGAAAACUAUCGUAGGAGCAGAUUUGAAAUCUUUCAUCGUGCAUAGAAAGAGAACCUUAAAAUCACGAGUUCCAUCAUCUCUUCCACGAUAGCCUUGCCUCCAUGCGCCGCUUGAAUCUUCCUCCUUGCGCAACCACCAUGAGAACCAUCAUUGUCCAAAACCUUAAAAAAAACUCUGUCACAAAUCUCCGAAUUCGAACCACUUAAACCCCCAAUCUCACCGCGAAACACAACGCCUCUAUGAAACCUGCAAAAACA